AUAUAGCUCAGUAGUAGAGUGCUUGCCUAGCAUAUGUGAGGCCCUGAGUUCAAUUCUCAGUAU
rnacentral:tRNA from 1 species